AAGUCGUAACAAGGUUUCUGUAGGUGAACCUGCAGAAGGAUCAUUAGUGAAUGCCUGGGCUGUCAUACGGACUGCGGUCUCUGACGCCCACCCACUAUAUCCGCAAACCCUGUGCACUGUGGUGUUGUCGUGGACACACCUCGCCAACCAACUCGUCUUUGUAUCUGUACGUGUCUACUUGGCCUAAGCCAAAAAUCAACACAA
rnacentral:misc_RNA from 1 species